rfam:Ictidomys tridecemlineatus contig010996, whole genome shotgun sequence.
UGGGAUGUAGCUUAGUGGUGAAGUGUUUGCCUUAUACACAUGAGAUGCUGGGUUCAAUCCUCAGCACCAUAU